UGGGGAAUAUUGGACAAUGGGCGCAAGCCUGAUCCAGCCAUGCCGCGUGAGUGAAGAAGGCCUUAGGGUUGUAAAGCUCUUUCGCCCGCGAAGAUGAUGACGGUAGCGGGAGAAGAAGCCCCGGCUAACUCCGUGCCAGCAGCCGCGGUAAUACGGAGGGGGCGAGCGUUGUUCGGAAUUACUGGGCGUAAAGGGCGCGUAGGCGGCGAAUCAAGUCAGAGGUGAAAGCCCCGGGCUCAACCUGGGAAUUGCCUUUGAAACUGAUGAGCUAGAGUCCGGAAGAGGAUAGCGGAAUUCCCAGUGUAGAGGUGAAAUUCGUAGAUAUUGGGAAGAACACCAGUGGCGAAGGCGGCUAUCUGGUCCGGUACUGACGCUGAGGUGCGAAAGCGUGGGGAGCAAACAGGAUUAGAUACCCCCGUAGUCC
rnacentral:rRNA from 1 species